rnacentral:misc_RNA from 1 species
GAUGAAGAACGUAGCGAAAUGCGAUAAGUAAUGUGAAUUGCAGAAUCCAGUGAAUCAUCGAAUCUUUGAACGCACAUUGCGCCCGCCAGCAUUCUGGCGGGCAUGCCUGUUCGAGCGUCAUUUCAACCCUCGACCUCCCUUUGGGGAAGUCGGCGUUGGGGACCGGCAGCACACCGCCGGCCCUGAAAUGGAGUGGCGGCCCGUCCGCGGCGACCUCUGCGUAGUAAUCCAACUCGCACCGGAACCCCGACGCGGCCACGCCGUAAAACACCCAACUUCUGAACGUUGACCUCGAAUCAGGUAGGACUGCCCGCUGAACUUAAGCAUAUCAAUAAGCGGAGGA